UCAAGUUUAGAAAUGAAACUUGAACGAGCGAGCCUACUCUACUUGUUGCUGUCAAAAACAAGCUUUCAUUCAUAGCUUCCAUUCAAUUGCAAUCAAUCGUUCAUUUCAUCCGGGGUGCAGCGUGAUGAGAUGCUACCAGAUUCCUGUCAUGGCGGAAAAGGAAAAACAGGUAUGUAGGGGCUAGGUGCAGGCAGAACAGGGCGGGUUAACAUGAGACAAUUAGUAAGAAUUUAAAUAAGUGUUUAUGAAUAUAGUAACAUUCAAUAAUUAGUUGGGUCUUCACAAAAUUUUUUGCUAGUAUCCCAAAAUUCUUGCUAAUUCUUUUCAUGAAAAUUCUGUGUUCAUGUUAAAAGUGAUAUUUUGAUAUUAAUAAAUAUCUUUAAAUAUUA